CAGUCGUACUUAUGGGUAAUCAGCCUUUUGGGUGUGAUUUUGUGGAGUGUGAGGAGCUAAUCGCCUUCAUCUUUGCAUAUUCGUGCACUUUGGGUGUACUUGCCCGUGUGUAAGUUAACAUCAAUUUUGGUGGUCAUAAAAUGGCUGGAGGAAUGUAGCUUCGAUCUUGUAUUGAAGUG
rnacentral:rRNA from 1 species